rnacentral:lncRNA from 1 species
GGAGGGCAUAUGGCACCCAGAAUAUGGCUGUAGGCAUUUGUAAAUGGGGUUGUUGACAUUGAGCUUUCAGGAAGAGAAGAUUAAGACACAGAGAUACCAGAGAGGUCGUUCACAGAGGAAAGACCAUGUGAAGACGCAGUGAGAAGGUGGCCAUAUUCAAGCUGAGGAGAGAGACCUCAGAAGAAACCAAUACUGCCAACGCCUUGGUCUUGGACUUCCAGCCUCCAGAACUUUUGCCUCCCAUAUUUUUAUGAUGCCUUUUGAAAGCAUUCUUAAUGGUAAACAUAAAGAAAAUUUUGAUGUCUACUCACUUUCCAUUUUUUGGAAUUUUCCCCUUUUGGUCUCCUUGCUACCCCUAGUGGACUCUACCUUCCUUCCCCUGAUUCUCAUGAGAAUCUGAUCUUCGCUAAAGUGGGCAAGGUCCUGGAUCAGAAGAUGCCUGACAAGAGGCCACUAUCAGCAGCAACAGCACAGUGGGGACAAACCUGAGACCUUGAUGGACCGUGGACACCAGCAGGAGAGACAGAGGAACUUGAAGUCUAAAUGGGCAGACAAGACCAACAUACACAAAGCAGAGAGUGGCACAAGAGCCAUGUCUGAUGCAACAGUGACUCAGGAGGAUCACUCUGACUCAGAAUGGCCAAGCAAAGGUAUUGGGAGGAAGUGGGAUAGAACUGAGCUUUGAAGACCGUGCUAAAAUAUUUACAGACUCCCCAGGUUAUCUCAAGUUCUCUCCAGGAAUUAGCUUCACCUCUUUGUGCUUUGGCUCCACAUCAGUUAAAUAGUGGUAACGUUUGAUCGUUAAGAACCAUGUAGAGAUGAAACAAUUUUCAAAGUUUUUUAAUUAAGUGUACUCAUUGCCACUCAAAGACAAAUACCAUAUAAAUAUAAUAAUAAUCAUAUUGAGAAACAAAA